CUAAGGAAAAACGGAAUCCUGCACAUUGUCGAAAGUUUUGUUUAGUUUUGAGAGGUCUACUCUCAAUUCGUUCUUUGAAAACUAGAUAAUAUUAAUUUUCUGUAAUAAUUUUUUUGAAAUUGUAUUUAAUAUAAUUUCAACCGAGAAUACCGCGUUAUUUUGAGUUUGUUAACUAGAAAAAAUCGCAAAUACUCAAUUAACUUUGCAUCACGUAGUGAUGUAC
rnacentral:misc_RNA from 1 species